rnacentral:misc_RNA from 1 species
GCCUAAUUUACCUGAUGGCGGGUGAAGUUGCGGCGGCGGAGGUUAUCGGCGUCAAGCACUUGAGUUCGGCUGAAGCUGCGGCGGAGGAGGAGAAGCUACGUCUUCUCCGCGAAGCCGUCCAUGCGCUGCCAGUGAGCGCCGUCAAAGAUUUAUGGUCCAUUGGGGCAUGUGUUCGAUGCAUUUUCCGACUAUUUGGACUUCAUGAACUCAUGUGUUCACAUCCUUCACUCUCAAUAUCAAAGUGGUGUGAUAUUUUAGAAGAUGUGAUGAGAAACAAAGAUGGAGAAUUUAAUGAGCAAUCACAUCAAGAACGAUCAAGGGAGACAAACUUUUGCAAAAUAUGCUUAGGCAUUUUGCAAUUUCUCUA